GAUGAACGCUAGCGGCAGGCCUAAUACAUGCAAGUCGAACGAUACUUUCCAGCUUGCUGGAAAGGAAAGUGGCGCACGGGUGCGUAACGCGUAUGCAACCUACCUUAAUCAGGGGGAUAGCCCGAAGAAAUUCGGAUUAACACCGCAUAAAAUCACAGUACAGCAUUGUACAAUGAUCAAAUAUUUAUAGGAUUAAGAUGGGCAUGCGUGACAUUAGCUAGUUGGCGGGGUAACGGCCCACCAAGGCGACGAUGUCUAGGGGAUCUGAGAGGAUGACCCCCCACACUGGUACUGAGACACGGACCAGACUCCUAGGGGAGGCAGCAGUAAGGAAUAUUGGUCAAUGGAGGCAACUCUGAACCAACCAUGCCGCGUGCAGGAAGACAGCCCUCUGGGUCGUAAACUGCUUUUAUUCGGGAAUAAACCUACUUACGUGUAAGUAGCUGAAUGUACCGAAGGAAUAAGGAUCGGCUAACUCCGUGCCAGCAGCCGCCGUAA
rnacentral:rRNA from 1 species